rnacentral:lncRNA from 1 species
AGGAAGCCCUGCAGGAAACAACAGGUGGGCUCUACCUGCAGACCCCCUGGAGCUGUUUUGACCCCCCCUUGGACCAGGCCGGGACUUCUCUUUGUGAUUCCUUGACCUCCAGCAUUGUGACUGCGGGUCCCGACGGCUUCUCUGGCUUCUGACCUUGGGCUGGGUUAUCCCACUCUGCCUUUCGUUUACGGAAGUAAAUCGUGACAAAGUGCGCUUGGAGAGGCCCCGUUUCACCACGAAGGGGACAAACGAGCGCAACCUCGUUCCACGACCACCACAGCCGAACCAAGAUAUGCUGGCAGACCUGCAGAUCUGGAAGGAUAAACCUUUCUUAUACGUGCUGAAUCUUUUUACGCUUCCAGAUGCACGUUGGGAUUCAUGGACAUAUUCCACUUUAUCGGUGUCCCUUACAAAUCUACUUUUGAAUGUCUGCUUUGAGAUCAGCUGCUCUGAAAUCAGUGACAUUGUGUCUGGUGAAACUGUUCUUGUGCUGCCUUUGUUACGUGAAGCAUUUCUGUGGUUAUAUUAGUGUCUGUUUCCUUGUCUAGAGAUGGUGUUGAGAGAAUUGGUCGUGCGUCUAUAUAGUAAUUGCUCCAGACAUCAUGUUGAAGCCAUAUUGUCUGAGGGGCUACAGUCGUGAUAGAAAUCAGAACAUUCAAAGGCACCAAAUUGAUGGGAACCCCCAAGACAGGGAUCAAAACAGAUGUGCUAAUUAGCACGUCCUCGUUAGGGGUAAACAUGCACAAACCCUCUGCAAAAUUGCCCUGGAGGCAGGCGCUUCCUUAACAGACAGGGAAAGUGAUGAGCGUGCAAGGAUCGCACACUGUGAUUUUGACACCCGGUUUCUGAGCACAGCUCUCACCAUUGGCAUCGCUUGUCUUGGUUUAAAUAUCUGCAUUGCCUAAUUGACUGGAAGACAAAGCUUGGGAAAAACCUUCGGACAGCGCCUUCAGCCAGCAUGGCUGCUGCCCACACAGGCCAGGGAACUCGACGAGGUGCAGUUCAAAAAAGUAACUUCUCUGAGUUCCACUUCAAUGUUGAGUUUCGACAGUGGGUCAGGAAUCCCAGGGGAGCCCCCCUCCCUCCUGUUCUCCUCCUGCUCUUCUCCUCCCUGAUCUUUCGCAGAAAGAGGGACUAGCCGGGUCAGAUAAGUGGAUAGUUGGAGCUUCUGAAGGCAGCCCACCGGUGCCGUCGCCCCUCCUGGAUGAACGGGUGGCUGUUUUCACCCUCCGUGAGCUGGCUUUUGCGCUGCUUGAACAUUUCAGUGCGUUUCUUCAUGCAGAUGAGUUUGGAGAGAAAAUACAUUUAAAAAGGCAUAUGCAUGUGUCUGUCUGUCUCGCUCUCUUUGUGUGUGUGCGUGUGUGUGUGUGAGAGAGAGAGAGCAUGUGGGAGGGAGAGGGAGGAUGAGAGAAAUAAGUUUAGAAGCAUGCGUUUU